CCCUUAGAUGUCCUGGGCCGCACGCGCGCUACACUGAUGCAUGCAACGAGUUUAUAACCUUGGCCUGAAAGGUCUGGGUAAUCUUUUGAACGUGCAUCGUGAUAGGGAUAGAUUAUUGCAAUUGUUAAUCUUGAACGAGGAAUUCCUAGUAAACGCGAGUCAUCAGCUCGCAUUGAUUACGUCCCUGCCCUUUGUACACACCGCCCGCCGCACCUACCGAUUGAAUGGUUCGGUGAAGAUCUCGGACUUCGAUAUUUAUUCUUUAUUGAGUUUAUAUUGUGGGAAGUUAUCUAAACCUCAUCAUUUAGAGGAAGGUGAAGUCGUAACA
rnacentral:rRNA from 1 species